rnacentral:rRNA from 1 species
GAUGAACGCUGGCGGCGUGCCUAAUACAUGCAAGUCGAGCGAACAGACGAGGAGCUUGCUCCUCCGACGUUAGCGGCGGACGGGUGAGUAACACGUGGAUAACCUACCUAUAAGACUGGGAUAACUUCGGGAAACCGGAGCUAAUACCGGAUAAUAUAUUGAACCGCAUGGUUCAAUAGUGAAAGACGGUUUUGCUGUCACUUAUAGAUGGAUCCGCGCCGCAUUAGCUAGUUGGUAAGGUAACGGCUUACCAAGGCAACGAUGCGUAGCCGACCUGAGAGGGUGAUCGGCCACACUGGAACUGAGACACGGUCCAGACUCCUACGGGAGGCAGCAGUAGGGAAUCUUCCGCAAUGGGCGAAAGCUUGACGGAGCAACGCCGCGUGAGUGAUGAAGGUCUUCGGAUCGUAAAACUCCGUUAUUAGGGAAGAACAAAUGUGUAAGUAACUAUGCACGUCUUGACGGUACCUAAUCAGAAAGCCACGGCUAACUACGU